UCAACAUGCGUAUUUUCAAACCUCCGUGCACCCUGCUCACACAGACGUGGCUAUGCAGAGUUGUAGACAGACAGUCGCAGAGCUCCAAAAACAAACAGCUGCCACUUUUUACAGCUGCUCCUGAACCAAAACAAUGAGUUUAAGCUGCAUUCACGCAUUGUCAUAUCCCGUAAUGAUGAGAUGGCAACCCAUGCUGUUCUGCAUCCUCAGCCUCGGAUUUAUUCAUUUCUAUUUCAUCGCUAUCAAUUAAUCUGCCGCAGUCAGAUGGUACAAGAGCUCUACUCUGCUUUGUGCAUUCAUCAUGUGUUUUGAAGGAGGCAUGGCUUUGGGAAGCGCUCUGAAGAGUGGGUGGGAUCUCAUGCUUUCAAAGCUUAGUUGUGACAUAAGGAAUGUUGUCUCAACAGCUGUAAUGAGGAUUAUUUAUUAAUAUUUCACAUUUAAGAGACUUUUAUUCUGAAACGAGGUUCUCGGGAAAGAGACGGGAGAGCAAAGGGUAGAAGAAGGAGAGAGAUUGGAGACAAGGAACCAUGCGGUCACAGAGUUUACAUUAAAUUUAGGACAGUUGCUGCUUGUUGUUUUAGUUUUGCAUUGCUUUGGCUGUUAUAUACCUUGUUGAAAAGGACACAAGGUUAGUGUAUGCAUUUAUAUGUGGUAUAUAUUGUAUUUAUGCAUGUUUUAUAUGUAUUUGCUUUGCUUGUUACAAGUAACAUUAAGUCAUUUAUGGUACAUGUUAGUCCUGAUUUUGUAAUUGUGUUGUUACAUAGCAGAUUACUUUCAUUUUGUAUGAAUGUGUAUUCCUUAUGGUGUUGUGGAGUCGAAUAAGGUAUAUUGUGGAGUUAAACAAGGAUAAUAAAUGGAAAAAGGGACACACAUAAAAAUAAGUGCUUGAGACAAUUUCUUUAUUUCAACCUACAUUAAGAGCUUACUGCAUUGUUUCCAUUCACUGGUGGACCAAGGGUCCAAGUUGUGCACUCCUGUGAAGGAAAUCCUACCUUCUCAAAACAGAUAUACAGAUGAUGAGAUAGAAAAUCAUUUCGAAGGUGUAAAGAGAGAUGAAGCAUGCUGCUGUGGUUGUGAACAAAUUCCAGUAGAAAAGAUGCUUGUGUAUCAAAAAGAGGAGUAAUAAAAGGCAGAGACAAGGCUUAUGCAUGCAUAUGAGCAAUGGAACGCUGAGGCUCGAAAGGCAAUAGGGCAGCUGAAAACAGACAUUUCUGAGAGUCAACUAGCAAUACUUAUGUUUGAAAAAAGGAGACAAUGUAAUGAAUGCAUAAAUAAGGGUUCGAAGUUACGUUACUCCACCCACUGAUUCAAGAAGGCAGAUUGAUGCUGUGACAAAUGACAUUGUAAAGAUAGCUUACGAGAGGAUCUCAGGUGUUGAUGGAGACUUUGAUGGUGAAAGAGUAAAGGGGCAUCUUCCCGAAUUGCUUGAUCGAGUUCUGCAGUCUCACAUAUCAGCUCCAAGUCAAGUACACUCAUAAGUCAACCCGCACUGAACUCCAUGAUGAUUGUUAUACAAAUAGAGGCAAGCAGCAGAGCUUGCAGCAAAGGAAGCAGAAUAUGCACCGAUAGUGGAGGAAAAGGAACAAAUGGAAAGAAUACUACUUCUAGAAGAGAGGUAAAGGAGAGAACUUGAUGCUCAAACGAGUGGGUUGGAAAGAUUGGUGGUAAGGGAGGUAAGAGUAGCUAGAGCAACACUAGAUAUGACUAACCAGUGGUGCGUUUCCCAAAGCGAACUAUGGUCGCAAGUUCCAUCGCUACCAGUAGAGUUCAGUGGUACUUACGACCAUAGUUGGCUAACGAUGCUUUCAGGAAACACACCCAGAAUGAUGGGUUGCAGCAACUAAGCAUUCCUACACAAGAACCUGUGUAUUCAUUCUCAGUUAGUUCAACAAUCAAUGGCAAAGCGUUAUCGCCACCUUCUAAUGCUGACCUUGCACAAGCCAUCCAAGAUAGUAUAAGGAAAACUCUAGAAGGCAUCUUAUACAGAAACGAUGAGGAAGCCUACAAGGAUGUGUGGAAAAGACUUCAGGAUCGCUAUGGUCAGCCGUUUAUUAUAUAAAGAGCAUUCUGAGACAAACUUGCAAAAAUCUCUACUCUGACAGACAAAAUUUCCCCAUUUCAAGAUUGUGAGGUUGGUCUAUGAAUAGGAUACAAUUGCUACAGAGCUUUGGCACAUAGAGAAGUGAUAAUUAGAGCAGACAACGAGUCAUACGCUGUUCGCACGGGUCUCAGAUGGUGCAUUUUGGGCUCUUCCUUGCCGCACCAUGAGUCACAAAGUGAUUUGUUGAUGUGUUAGAGUAUAGCUAUCAAGGAGAUUCCUUCUGUAACGCCCCCAGAUGUAAUCAAAGUGCUGGAGUCAGUUUUCAAAGAUGCUAAUAAAUACUCAAGGGUAGUGUCUCGAGAAGACACUGUGUUUUUUAAUAAACUAGGAGAAAACAUCAGAAUGAACAAAGACAACCACUUGGAAAUGCCCCUUCUCUUCAAAGACUCUGUCUUUGCUGUUGUGAGAGUUCAACAUUUCAAGCGGAGAUUAGUGAAGGACAAGGAGUACAAAGAACAUCACGUGAAGUUCAUUGAAGAGGUAACAGGAAAUGGUGACACAGAAAGAGUCCUUGAUGAAGGAAAAGGAGGAGAAAAAUGGUACAUCCCUCAUCAUGGGGUGUAUCACUUGGAAAAGCCAGGGGUAAUUUCAUGUAGUCUUCGACUGCCUUGUCAGAUACAAGGGAACCAGCUUAAACAAUCAUCUACUUAGAGGCCCUGACCUGAUGAACAGCCUGACUGGCAUUCUUUUGUGGUUCAGACAGCAACCAGUGGGCUUGAUGUGUGAUAUUGAGAGGAUGUUCUCAUGGUGCAGAGCAGAUCAAGAUUACUAAGAAUUUCUAUGGAAUAGUAUUGUCAAAAAUAUAAAUAUUUCAAUACGUAUCAAUACUGAAUUAUCUUAAACAAUUUCAAAACUCAUUAUCGAUACAAGCUGCGCGAUCUCGCUUUUUCUUCUCUGCAAUGGCGAAUUGACAAUUUGAUACACACCCGCCUCCUCUCACUCACUCGUCUCAUUUGCGCCUGUUAAACAGUGUUGGUGUUGCAGGUGCAAAUGAGACGAGUGAAUUUCGGGAUAGUUGCAGGUUUCGCACUCACACCAAAAGUGUGCACCACUGAGUUGCUUCUCAAACCAUUCUUGAGUACCAAAUUUAAUUCUUUUUAAUGGCUUAUUGUGCUUCAACGGUCAAAUGCCCAUCUUGGCAAAUAUUCAGGUAAACGCAGUCAUUGUUGAGUAAAUUUAGGACAUUUAGUUGCAGUUUGUUGUUUUAUUUUUGUAUUAUUUUUAUCUUUUGCUGUUAUGUACCUGGUUGAAAAUUCAUACCAUUUUGUAUUCAUUUGAAUUCCUUGCAAAUACCAAUAUUUUGUUUUAGCUCUCGAAUAAGGUGUAUUGUGGAGUUGAACAAGGAUAAUAAAUGGAAAAAGGGACAAACAUCAGUGCAAGAGCUAAUUUCUUGAUUUCAACCAAGCUGCUAUACAUUCAGUACCUUUUACAUAGCAUUUCUAGUCAAUAUGUUUUCUAUUCCCACAGCUGCAAGCAGUGUUCUUUAUUACAGAAGCUCUUUUAUUAUAACAAUAAAAUUCAAUGCCUCAUCAUUCCCUGGGUGUGCUAACUACAGGCUAAAGCAUCUUGAACGGGAAGGUGAGCAUUCAUACUCCCUAGGAACCCAUUGCGAAAUCUAUCAGUGAAAUCCCUUAUCGUAUGGAUUCCUUUUAAAAUGACUGGAUUGCACUUGUGAAAAUUUGCC